rnacentral:lncRNA from 1 species
CAUACUCCCGGGGACCGUGUGCCAGUCAGCCCCGUUGAUGAUGUUGCCGUGCACGGAGAAGUCCUGGCUGUGGCAGGGUCGGCGGCUGGUGUCCUGCAUGGCCAGAUUACUGCCAGCAUAGACAGUGCUGAGCCAGCGAAACACAGCAUCAUCUGGUGUGGGCGUGAGCUCGCGGGCAGCCCACGGGGUGCGAGUCAUGUCGAAUGGGUAGGACACCACGAGCUCACCCCCGUGGAGGUGUCAUUGCUGAACUGGACCUUGUAUGAUGUGACCCAGUCAUACCUGGCACUGACCUGAAUGUUGAGCCGUCCUCGGUGUGGUCCAAGACCAAAGGACUGGCUGCUGGAUGCCUCAAGCCGGCUAUCUGAAACUCGCAGGGACUCCAG